rnacentral:rRNA from 1 species
GAGGACUGACCCCUUCCGUGCCGCAGUUAACACAAUAAGUAUUCCACCUGGGGAGUACGACCGCAAGGUUGAAACUCAAAGGAAUUGACGGGGGCCCGCACAAGCAGUGGAUUAUGUGGUUUAAUUCGACGCAACGCGAAGAACCUUACCAGGACUUGACAUCCAACUAACGAAGUAGAGAUACAUUAGGUGCCCUUCGGGGAAAGUUGAGACAGGUGGUGCAUGGUUGUCGUCAGCUCGUGUCGUGAGAUGUUGGGUUAAGUCCCGCAACGAGCGCAACCCCUAUUGUUAGUUGCUACGCAAGAGCACUCUAGCAAGACUGCCGUUGACAAAACGGAGGAAGGCGGGGACGACGUCAAAUCAUCAUGCCCCUUAUGUCCUGGGCUACACACGUAAUACAAUGGUGGUUAACAGAGGGAAGCAAUACUGUGAAGUGGAGCAAAUCCCUAAAAGCCAUCUCAGUUCGGACUGCAGGCUGCAACUCGCCUGCAUGAAGCUGGAAUUGCUAGUAAUCGCGGAUC